CUGGUCUGUAAUUCCCCGUUUUCUCUCUCCCUCCCUUCUUAAAAAGUGGGGUUACAUUGUCUACCCUCCAGUACAAGGAACUGAUUCAGAGUCGAGUGAAAAUUGUAAAAUGAUCACCAAUGCAUCCAUGAUUUCUGGGGAACACCUCCUUGAGUACGCUGGGAUGUCGACCAUCAGGCCGUGGGGAUUUAUUUGCUUCCAGUCCCAACAGUUUACUAACAC